GGUUAAGCGACUAAGCGUACACGGUGGAUGCCCUGGCAGUCAGAGGCGAUGAAGGACGUGCUAAUCUGCGAAAAGCGACGGCGAGGUGAUAUGAACCUUUGACCCGUCGAUGUCCGAAUGGGGAAACCCAGUGCAAUCCGUUGCACUAUCGUUAACUGAAUACAUAGGUUAACGAGGCGAACCGGGGGAACUGAAACAUCUAAGUACCCCGAGGAAAAGAAAUCAACCGAGAUUCCCCCAGUAGCGGCGAGCGAACGGGGAGCAGCCCGGAGUCUGAAUCAGCUUGUGUGUUAGUGGAAGCGUCUGGAAAGUCGCACGAUACAGGGUGACAGUCCCGUACACGAAAAUGCACAGGUUGUGAACUCGAAGAGUAGGGCGGGACACGUGGUAUCCUGUCUGAAUAUGGGGGGACCAUCCUCCAAGGCUAAAUACUCCUGACUGACCGAUAGUGAACCAGUACCGUGAGGGAAAGGCGAAAAGAACCCCGGCGAGGGGAGUGAAAAAGAACCUGAAACCGUGUACGUACAAGCAGUGGGAGCACCUUCGGGUGUGACUGCGUACCUUUUGUAUAAUGGGUCAGCGACUUAUAUUCUGUAGCAAGGUUAACCGUAUAGGGGAGCCGCAGGGAAACCGAGUCUUAACUGGGCGUUAAGUUGCAGGGUAUAGACCCGAAACCCGGUGAUCUAGCCAUGGGCAGGUUGAAGGUUGGGUAACACUAACUGGAGGACCGAACCGACUAAUGUUGAAAAAUUAGCGGAUGACCUGUGGCUGGGGGUGAAAGGCCAAUCAAACCGGGAGAUAGCUGGUUCUCCCCGAAAGCUAUUUAGGUAGCGCCUCGUGAACUCAUCUUCGGGGGUAGAGCACUGUUUCGGCUAGGGGGCCAUCCCGGCUUACCAACCCGAUGCAAACUACGAAUACCGAAGAAUGUUAUCACGGGAGACACACGGCGGGUGCUAACGUCCGUCGUGAAGAGGGAAACAACCCAGACCGCCAGCUAAGGUCCCAAAGUCAUGGUUAAGUGGGAAACGAUGUGGGAAGGCACAGACAGCCAGGAUGUUGGCUUAGAAGCAGCCAUCAUUUAAAGAAAGCGUAAUAGCUCACUGGUCGAGUCGGCCUGCGCGGAAGAUGUAACGGGGCUAAACCAUGCACCGAAGCUGCGGCAGCGACGCUUAUGCGUUGUUGGGUAGGGGAGCGUUCUGUAAGCCGUUGAAGGUGUGCUGUGAGGCAUGCUGGAGGUAUCAGAAGUGCGAAUGCUGACAUAAGUAACGAUAAAGCGGGUGAAAAGCCCGCUCGCCGGAAGACCAAGGGUUCCUGUCCAACGUUAAUCGGGGCAGGGUGAGUCGACCCCUAAGGCGAGGCCGAAAGGCGUAGUCGAUGGGAAACAGGUUAAUAUUCCUGUACUUGGUGUUACUGCGAAGGGGGGACGGAGAAGGCUAUGUCAGCCGGGCGACGGUUGUCCCGGUUUAAGCGUGUAGGUGUGUGUUCCAGGCAAAUCCGGUUCACUUUAACACUGAGGCGUGAUGACGAGGCACUACGGUGCUGAAGUGAUAAAUGCCCUGCUUCCAGGAAAAGCCUCUAAGCAUCAGGUAACACGAAAUCGUACCCCAAACCGACACAGGUGGUCAGGUAGAGAAUACCAAGGCGCUUGAGAGAACUCGGGUGAAGGAACUAGGCAAAAUGGUGCCGUAACUUCGGGAGAAGGCACGCUGAUAUGUAGGUGAAGUCCCUGCGGACGGAGCUGAAAUCAGUCGAAGAUACCAGCUGGCUGCAACUGUUUAUUAAAAACACAGCACUGUGCAAACACGAAAGUGGACGUAUACGGUGUGACGCCUGCCCGGUGCCGGAAGGUUAAUUGAUGGGGUUAGCGGCAACGCGAAGCUCUUGAUCGAAGCCCCGGUAAACGGCGGCCGUAACUAUAACGGUCCUAAGGUAGCGAAAUUCCUUGUCGGGUAAGUUCCGACCUGCACGAAUGGCGUAAUGAUGGCCAGGCUGUCUCCACCCGAGACUCAGUGAAAUUGAACUCGCUGUGAAGAUGCAGUGUACCCGCGGCAAGACGGAAAGACCCCGUGAACCUUUACUAUAGCUUGACACUGAACACUGGUCCUUGAUGUGUAGGAUAGGUGGGAGGCUUUGAAGCGUGGACGCCAGUCUGCGUGGAGCCGUCCUUGAAAUACCACCCUUUAAUGGCUGGUGUUCUAACGUGGACCCGUGAUCCGGGUUGCGGACAGUGUCUGGUGGGUAGUUUGACUGGGGCGGUCUCCUCCCAAAGAGUAACGGAGGAGCACGAAGGUUAGCUAAUCCUGGUCGGACAUCAGGAGGUUAGUGCAAUGGCAUAAGCUAGCUUGACUGCGAGAGUGACGGCUCGAGCAGGUGCGAAAGCAGGUCAUAGUGAUCCGGUGGUUCUGAAUGGAAGGGCCAUCGCUCAACGGAUAAAAGGUACUCCGGGGAUAACAGGCUGAUACCGCCCAAGAGUUCAUAUCGACGGCGGUGUUUGGCACCUCGAUGUCGGCUCAUCACAUCCUGGGGCUGAAGUAGGUCCCAAGGGUAUGGCUGUUCGCCAUUUAAAGUGGUACGCGAGCUGGGUUUAGAACGUCGUGAGACAGUUCGGUCCCUAUCUGCCGUGGGCGCUGGAGAAUUGAGGGGGGCUGCUCCUAGUACGAGAGGACCGGAGUGGACGCAUCACUGGUGUUCGGGUUGUCAUGCCAAUGGCACUGCCCGGUAGCUAAAUGCGGAAGAGAUAAGUGCUGAAAGCAUCUAAGCACGAAACUUGCCCCGAGAUGAGUUCUCCCUGAGACUAUAAGUCUCCUGAAGGAACGUUGAAGACGACGACGUUGAUAGGCCGGGUGUGUAAGCGCAGCGAUGCGUUGAGCUAACCGGUACUAAUGAACCGUGAGGCUUAACCUU
rnacentral:rRNA from 1 species